rnacentral:rRNA from 1 species
UACGGGAGGCAGCAGUAGGGAAUUUUCGGCAAUGGGGGAAACCCUGACCGAGCAACGCCGCGUGAACGAUGAAGGUUUUUGGAUCGCAGAGUUCUGUUGUAAGGGAAGAAAGCUACGGAUAGGGAAUGAUCUGUAGUUGACGGUACCUUACCAGAAAGCCACGGCUAACUACGUGCCAGCAGCCGCGGUAAU